rnacentral:misc_RNA from 1 species
UUUCCGUAGGUGAACCUGCGGAAGGAUCAUUCAUGUGUUUGGGCCUCACGGCUCUUCAUUACGCCGCUAUGCGCCUUCGGGCGGCACGCUGAUGGUGCUUAUAUCCACCCCUGUGCACAAACACGGUGGCUAGCUGGUAACGGCUCGCUGCUGAUCUUUCCACACGUCUAAAAGCCAUUGUAUGUUUAUUUGAGAUUAAAACACAACUUUCAGCAACGGAUCUCUUGGCUCUC